CCGAUCGGUAGACGCUACGGACUUGAAAAUCCGUUGGCUUUAUUGACCGUGAGGGUUCAAGUCCCUCUACCCCCA
rnacentral:tRNA from 2 species